rnacentral:tRNA from 4 species
CGGGCUAUAGUGUAACGGUAGCACGAGUCCAUGGGGUGGAUUUAGUGGCAGUUCAAAUCUGCCUAGCCCGACCA